rnacentral:rRNA from 1 species
GGGGAAUAUUGGGCAAUGGGGGAAACCCUGACCCAGCAACGCCGCGUGAGGGAAGAAGGCUUUCGGGUUGUAAACCUCUGUCGCAGGGGAAGAAACAAAUGACGGUACCCUGUGAGGAAGCCCCGGCUAACUACGUGCCAGCAGCCGCGGUAAUACGUAGGGCGCAAGCGUUGUCCGGAAUUAUUGGGCGUAAAGAGCUCGUAGGCGGUUAGUCGCGUCUGCUGUGAAAACUCGAGGCUCAACCUCGGGCUUGCAGUGGGUACGGGCUGACUAGAGUGCGGUAGGGGUGACUGGAAUUCCUGGUGUAGCGGUGGAAUGCGCAGAUAUCAGGAGGAACACCGAUGGCGAAGGCAGGUCACUGGGCCGCAACUGACGCUGAGGAGCGAAAGCAUGGGGAGCGAACA